UUAAAAUCCGUUGACUUUUAAAAUCGUGAGGGUUCAAGUCCCUCUAUCCCCA
rnacentral:tRNA from 12 species